rnacentral:lncRNA from 1 species
UAGGGACCCUAGGAAUGCUUCUUUGUCUCUGUGUGGUCUCUUCAGCAUAGCAACAGCAGCGUAGCUGAACAUCUUACGGAUGGCCCAGGGCUCCAAAGGCUCGUUUCCUAAGUGAGAGAGAGCCUGGCUGAAGCUGUAUUACCAUUCAUUCUCCAGCCUCCGAAGUCUCAAAGCAUCACUUCCACCAUACUCUAACUGUCAAGACAAACACAAAGGCCCAGAAACUGCCAGACUGUCUUCUGAAGUGGCUAUAAUAUUUACACUCCCAUCAGCAGUGUAGAAGGGGUCUCACUAUGUUGUCUGGAGUGCUGUGGUGGAGUGGAGUGGCUAUUCACAGAGCCUGUUCUGCUGGGACACAGAAUCACUUGCUCCAUCUCAUACAUUGAUGAUGAUUAAUUUGUAUGUGUACCUUCCAAAAAAGAUGGUUGUGUUUGAAUGGAGGCCUUCUGGACAGGAAAAUAAUCACAUCCUUCCUGAGAUAAUGAGCACACAAUUGCCUGGAUACCUGAAGGAAUGGAGACAGCGGCAGAAAACACUGCAGAGAGGUGGAAACAUCCGUUAAUAUUUUAAAAUCCCAUUACUGCUACCAACAAUAAUAAUGGAUGCAUAGAAAUAGAUCUGGAUUAGCUGAGCUUGAAACAGUCCAUCUCACACACACACAAAAGAAUUUCAGAUACAGUGAACCCACAUGUUGAAGCUUUCUAGUAUAAUAAAAAUUUCAACUGUUCUGUUGAAUCAUCUGCCUGAUUGGAGGCUACAGAAAAGAUGUCAUCUUAGGAGUGCUUGCUCUGAGUGAGGCUCAUCUUCAAAUCUGAAUGACCACAAGGAGAUUUGAUUAUACAUGUGAACACCUCAGAAGGCACAGCCCACCCAGAAGGCAGACAGGUCAGGCUGCUUUUUCUUCAUUGCUUGGAUUCAAUCCUCCGGGCGGCUCAGGCUCAAACAUAACUUAAGCAUGAUUAAACUUUAGAAGAAGCUGCCAGGAAGACUGUGAAAUCUUCAUGCCCAAGGAUCCCUAAAAUUAGGAGCAACAACCACUUGGCUCAGACGGUUUAUGGAGGCAAAGGUUUGGAUGGGAUUAGAGAUUUCUAAAUGUGAGUUCGUGUCCUCUGCCAGACCACCUUACUUCCACCAUUCCUCAGCAAAUCAAGAAAAACAGGAGAAAAGACAUGCCUUUCCAUAAGUUAAAUCUAUUCUGUUUUAAUUCUAUAUUAUAUCUGCUGUACAACUUCUUUUGUUUGUAACACCAUAUUGUUGCUAGUAACUGGAAAUUAAUUUUCACAUGCCUCAGCUUAGAAAAAUAAAAAGCAGCCCUGCAUCAAUCCCAAU